GACGAACGCUGGCGGCGUGCUUAACACAUGCAAGUCGAACGAUGAACCCGGAGCUUGCUCCGGUGGAUUAGUGGCGAACGGGUGAGUAACACGUGAGUAACCAGCCUCAUAGAGGGGAAUAGCCUUCCGAAAGGAAGAUUAAUACCGCAUAAGAUUGUAGUACCGCAUGGUACAGCAAUUAAAGGAGUAAUCCGCUAUGAGAUGGACCCGCGUCGCAUUAGCUAGUUGGUGAGGUAACGGCUCACCAAGGCGACGAUGCGUAGCCGACCUGAGAGGGUGAUCGGCCACAUUGGGACUGAGACACGGCCCAGACUCCUACGGGAGGCAGCAGUGGGGAAUAUUGCACAAUGGGGGAAACCCUGAUGCAGCAACGCCGCGUGAGUGAUGACGGUCUUCGGAUUGUAAAACUCUGUCUUCAGGGACGAUAAUGACGGUACCUGAGGAGGAAGCCACGGCUAACUACGUGCCAGCAGCCGCAGUAAAAC
rnacentral:rRNA from 1 species